GUAAACGAUGUCGACUUGGAGGUUGUGCCCUUGAGGUGUGGCUUCCGGAGCUAACGCGUUAAGUCGACCGCCUGGGGAGUACGGCCGCAAGGUUAAAACUCAAAUGAAUUGACGGGGGCCCGCACAAGCGGUGGAGCAUGUGGUUUAAUUCGAUGCAACGCGAAGAACCUUACCUGGUCUUGACAUCCACGGAAGUUUUCAGAGAUGAGAAUGUGCCUUCGGGAACCGUGAGACAGGUGCUGCAUGGCUGUCGUCAGCUCGUGUUGUGAAAUGUUGGGUUAAGUCCCGCAACGAGCGCAACCCUUAUCCUUUGUUGCCAGCGGUCCGGCCGGGAACUCAAAGGAGACUGCCAGUGAUAAACUGGAGGAAGGUGGGGAUGACGUCAAGUCAUCAUGGCCCUUACGACCAGGGCUACACACGUGCUACAAU
rnacentral:rRNA from 1 species